GCCAUCGCUCAACGGAUAAAAGGUACUCCGGGGAUAACAGGCUUAUAGUGCCCAAGAGUUCAUAUCGACGGCACUGUUUGGCACCUCGAUGUCGGCUCUUCGCAUCCUGGGGCUGGAGAAGGUCCCAAGGGUUCGGCUGUUCGCCGAUUAAAGCGGAACGCGAGCUGGGUUCAGAACGUCGUGAGACAGUUCGGUCCCUAUCCUCUGCAGGCGUUGGAAAUUUGAGGAGAUCUGUCCCUAGUACGAGAGGACCGGGAUGGACGAACCUCUGGUGUGCCAGCUGUCGCGCCAGCGGCACCGCUGGGUAGCUAUGUUCGGAAUGGAUAACCGCUGAAAGCAUCUAAGCGGGAAGCCAACUCCAAGAUUAGAUUUCCCUUGGCCUUCGGGCCACUGAAGACUCCUUGAAGAUUACAAGGUUGAUAGGCUGGAGGUGUAAGCGCAGUGAUGUGUUCAGCCGACCAGUACUAAUCAGUCGUGAGGCUUGACCAUAUU
rnacentral:rRNA from 1 species